CACCGCCCGUCACACCAUGAAAGUCGGCUGUACCAGAAGUCGCUGCGCUAACCGCAAGGGGGCAGGCGCCCAAGGUAUGGUCGAUGAUUGGGGUG
rnacentral:rRNA from 1 species